AUUGUCCAUUUCACGUGUUUUCACUUUUAGCCUGAGUUCUUAGCUCCGCUGCACCGGAAAUUAUCUCCUGCAGCGGCGGAGGGCCAAACACCACAAACCGUACACCAUCUUACUCACCUUGUCCCCCUCUAUCUCAAUAUCCUAUAAUUUUUCUCAGAUUUUCAACCAAAUGUUCAAACCGAGCCAAUAACUACAUGAACCCUAUAUCCCUAAUUCAUAAAUUAAACGUUAAAAUGGAGGAAUCAAAGCCUAAUUCCUUAGGGCUUUGAUUUCUCAGGUUCUAGAUCACAUUAUGGUAACUAGAAUUAGGGCAAAAUGAAAGAAGAAUUGAGAGAUCCUUCCUACGAGGAUGUGUUGCUUCGAAGCAAAUGAAGAUGAUGUACUCAAGUAAAUCUUGAACCUCCAAAUUCUUCAACCUUUCCUUUUCUUCUUUCUUCUUCUACACUUUUUGAGUUGUUGUUCUUGUUGUGGUCUUCUGUGAUGCUUUGCUUGUAUGUGAUUGAUGAAGAGUGAGAGAGUGAACGUGAGUGAGAGAGUUUUGUUGUAUGUGAUUAAGAGUGAAAAAAAUGAUUGGAAACUGAUUGAAAAAUGAUAAAAUGAUUGGAAAAUUGAUGAUUGAGCAAUGAUUGAAGAAUUUAUAGAGAGGUGAUGAAUGUGACAGAAACGGAAAGCUC
rnacentral:lncRNA from 1 species